rnacentral:rRNA from 1 species
CUCUGUGACUCCUACGGGAGGCAGCAGUGGGGAAUAUUGCACAAUGGGCGCAAGCCUGAUGCAGCAACGCCGUGUGAGUGAAGAAGGUUUUCGGAUCGUAAAACUCUGUCCUAAGGGAAGAAACAAAUGACGGUACCUUAGGAGGAAGCCCCGGCUAACUACGUGCCAGCAGCCGCGGUAAUACGUAGGGGGCAAGCGUUAUCCGGAAUCACUGGGCGUAAAGGGUGCGUAGGCGGCUUAGCAAGCCAGGGGUGAAAGGCAUUGGCUCAACCAAUGUAAGCCUUUGGAACUGUUAAGCUUGAGUGCAGGAGAGGUAAGUGGAAUUCCUAGUGUAGAGGUGAAAUUCGUAGAUAUUAGGAGGAACACCAGUGGCGAAGGCGACUUACUGGACUGUAACUGACGCUGAUGCACGAAAGCGUGGGUAGCGAACAGGAUUAGAUACCCUUGUAG